rnacentral:rRNA from 1 species
UGAGUUUGAUCCUGGCUCAGGAUGAACGCUGGCGGCGUGCUUAACACAUGCAAGUCGAACGGUGAAGCCAAGCUUGCUUGGUGGAUCAGUGGCGAACGGGUGAGUAACACGUGAGCAACCUGCCCUGAACUCUGGGAUAAGCGCUGGAAACGGUGUCUAAUACUGGAUAUGAGCUGCGGAGGCAUCUUCGUGGUUGGAAAGAUUUUUCGGUUUGGGAUGGGCUCGCGGCCUAUCAGCUUGUUGGUGAGGUAAUGGCUCACCAAGGCGUCGACGGGUAGCCGGCCUGAGAGGGUGACCGGCCACACUGGGACUGAGACACGGCCCAGACUCCUACGGGAGGCAGCAGUGGGGAAUAUUGCACAAUGGGCGGAAGCCUGAUGCAGCAACGCCGCGUGAGGGAUGACGGCCUUCGGGUUGUAAACCUCUUUUAGCAGGGAAGAAGCGUGAGUGACGGUACCUGCAGAAAAAGCGCCGGCAA